UAAAAUUAAGGUAAUCUGUUAUGUUAAAAAGAUUAUAGACAAGUGCCUAAGCAUUAUCUAAUAAGUGUACAACCAUGUGUAAAUAUUUGUACAAUCUAACCAGCUCAGUUCCUACACUAUAAAACUUCUAGAUGAUCUUAUUUCCACACCAAAUUUGUAAAUAAAAAAAAACAGUAUUAAGGGACCCUUACAGCCCAACCUACAAUAACCACUGACGCAGGCAGGACCAUGAACAUAGAG
rnacentral:lncRNA from 1 species